AGAGAGGUGGCCGAGUGGUCGAAGGCGCAUGCUUGGAAAGCAUGUAUACGAAGUAAUCCUUUGUAUCGAGGGUUCGAAUCCCUUCCUCUCUG
rnacentral:tRNA from 1 species